AAAAAUCUGCCCUUUUUCCCUUAUGGGGUAUCCAAGAGCCCAUAUAGAGUCCUUACGUAGGUUCCCUAUUGGUAGGAGAAAAUAACAGAGGCCAACCAGAGAAUAUUGAGAAGCAAAGCAGCUAGUAAGCCUGAUCUUUAUUGAUCUGUUGCAACAGGGUGCUCCCCUCACACGCAGGAAAGGAGGAGGAACCCAGAACAAUGGCGCACAAGGCCUUAUAAAGACUUUUGAAAUUGCCACCCUGGAGAUCCAGACCACCCCCAGAAACAUC